CGUGUGUGUGUGUGUGCGUGCGCGCUUGUUGGGUGUGUGUGCGUGCGCGCUUGUUGGGUGUGUGCGGGGAUGUGUGCGAGUGCGGAGUGUCACCGGGACGGUGACCUUUUAAAGUGGGGGUGUAUGUAACCGGUGGUUAUCCUGAACUUUUAUUCUGACGGGGUAACGACACUCCCCUUUCCUUCAGGUGUGUAGCAUAAAUCAUUGCGGUGGUAGCUAGCUAGCAAAGACGCCGUGUUUUUGAUGCUGUCGAGUGUAGCGUGGGCACACCGCUCUCUCUGUCCCUCUGUUUGUGGUUGAGCCACCGUACAGGAAAGCCCUGUCCAUCGGCGGCUGGCGUGGGGUCGGCUGCUGUUCUGGGAUGGUGUGCUGAGCUUGGCAAACUCAAGGUAAAAGAUGCGUUCUGUACGCUUCUCUCGUGUGUGCGAACGUAGUCUCUGUUGUGACUGAUGUAGUGUUACUCUAUCACAGUGUCGCUGGUGAUGUUCUUCCACUUUGUGUCCUGUGUGGUUGACUGCUUGCAUGCCGCUUCGAGAGAACCAGAGGAGGAGAUGGUGCCUUCGACUACACUGAUGCAGUGUCACUAGAGAAGGGGGGCAUCACUGUUCUUUUCCCAACCUUUUGUUUUGUUUUGUCCUAUUGUGUGAGUGAUUCAUCCUGUGCAACCGUUUCACUCUAACAUACGAGACGAAGGGGCUCGUGUAAGUUUCUACUUAGUAACCGCCAAGACGGAGCUUGUGUAGGCCUAUAUGAUUAGGGUAUGAACACUGAAGUAUUACUGGGAGACGUAUCUUAAAUCUCAGACUCCUUUUGGAACCUAUACUUGCUGUAGGGGGAGACCAAAGACGUGUGUCUAACAGGCUUGUGUGUGUGUGUGGUGGCCAUUACCAAUCUUGCCCUUUUGGCAGUUUGUUUUC